UCUAUUAUGUAGAGUAAAACUGAAGUUGAAAGAGCGGUUGCUCUUAUAGCUCUACACUUAUGACGUGACGUGAUAUGACACUUAGUAUUGUGCUGUCAUGUGGUCCAAUGACCUUACAAAUUAUUUGGAUACACGGUAUUGGAUACACGGUAUUGGAUAAACUACACAUGUAUCAAAGAAGGUAACAAAAGAUGGGGUUGCGUAAAUUUUCAGUUGCUGAAGUAGCGUAGAAGAAGUGUAUUAAGCUAGACUUGAGCCUCUACAACAGCAUCAAUGGGUUCUGAUAGUCUUGUGACAUCGAGCAUAGGGCGAUUUCUCAUAUCUGUUGUGACAUCUUUGUGGCAUGAAGUGAUCUUUUGUUUUCCUCAGGAGUCAUGAGUUCAUCUAUCUCUGAAUAACUCCAAUUCACUUUCCUUUCUUGGGAUCCUUUUUCUUUAUUUUAUAUUUGUCCAGUUAUGUGCUCUUAGUUCUAAUCGAGUUGCAUUUGGUGUGAAGCGGUAGACCGGGACUUACUUGAUGGUGCAUUUCUGAGACCUAGCAGGCUUGAAGACUUCUAUUCUGUGAUUUUUGUUCAAUAUAGGAGAGGCUAGACAUCCUUAAAGUUUUAUCAAGGAAGCUUCCUUUGGCCAGUGAUGUGGACUUGGACGCCAUAGCUCAUGAUCUAAUCUGUCUAAUCAUAAUCAGCGGUUCUUUGAGCACUGCUUUCAGAUUCACAGCUGCAAGUGGAGAGAGAAAUCAGCAUGGGAAAUAGCCAGUUAUAACAGACUCUUCUGAAGUUCGCUUCAAAGGCGAGCCAGUCAAUUUCAGAUGCUGAGAAGAGAAGACUCCAUACAAAUAUUUCUCAUUCUUUGUCUAUCAUCUCUCCCCAAAACUACAAUUGUGCAUCUCCGAUGAGAAAGUUCAACCGGGGAUUCUGGUGGUUGCUUAUUAUUGCAUCUUUGUACGUCAGUAGAUCAUUGAUUAGCAUACCUCCUCCGAAUAGUCUACCUGGUCUAAUGGCUUGUAGGACUGUUACUUUUUGUGAUCCAAUAAUGUCAGACAGCUUAAUCCUUGCAGUGACAUUCUCGUAAGGGGUAUGCGACAUGUCUAGGAUAUUCAUCUUGGCGCGUAAAUCAAUAAGAUGGCAUGCUCAGGUUGGUC